GAGAGAGAUGAUUUUUUUACUCUCUCCCAACUUGUGUCACUGUGUGUGUGUGUGUGUGUGUGUUAUUAUUAUCACGCGAUAAGAGUCGAGCCGCUGCCAUCCAUGAUCCAUCCAUCGUCCGCUCCGUCAUCAGGGUUUCGAAAGAAGCAGAGGAGUCAGAGACCAGAGCAGCACAUCUAACGAACUCCAGAUCUACUUCGUCGCCAUAACACAAUCUGUCAAUAGCCACCUAAAACCAACAGGUUACUUCCCAAUGUUGCGUACUUUAUCCAAAUGCUGCUGACGGGCAUGGGUACAACUUUAGAGUAAUAUAAAGGAAAGUAAGUGAAUAUAUCUCAAAACAUGGCGACAGCUGGACCAAGCAGCAGUAAUGACAGCCGGAGCGAGAGUAGUAACAAUGCCUCAGGUGGAGCAGAGGGAGGAGA